rnacentral:rRNA from 1 species
UACGUAGGGUUCGAGCGUUGUCCGGAUUUAUUGGGCGUAAAGGGCUCGUAGGCGGUUUGUCGCGUCUGCCGUGAAAGUCCGGGGCUCAACUCCGGAUCUGCGGUGGGUACGGGCAGACUAGAGUGAUGUAGGGGAGACUGGAAUUCCUGGUGUAGCGGUGAAAUGCGCAGAUAUCAGGAGGAACACCGAUGGCGAAGGCAGGUCUCUGGGCAUUAACUGACGCUGAGGAGCGAAAGCAUGGGGAGCGAACAGG